GUAAAGGGCAUGUAGGCGGUCUGUUAAGUCUGGUGUGAAAGCCCCCGGGCUCAACCCCGGAAGUGCAUCAGAUACUGGCCGACUUGAGUAUGGGAGAGGAAAGUGGAAUUCCGAGUGUAGGAGUGAAAUCCGUAGAUAUUCGGAGGAACACCAGUGGCGAAGGCGGCUUUCUGGACCAAUACUGACGCUGAGAUGCGAAAGCGUGGGGAGCGAACAGGAUUAGAUACCCUGGUAGUCCACGCCGUAAACGAUGGGUACUAGAUGUUGCGGGUAAUCACUCCUGCAGUGUCGCAGCUAACGCAUUAAGUACCCCGCCUGGGGAUUACGGCCGCAAGGCUAAAACUCAAAAGAAUUGACGGGGGCCCGCACAAGCGGUGGAGCAUGUGGUUUAAUUCGACGCAACGCGAAGAACCUUACCUGGGCUUGACAUCCCGAUCGUACUCUAUGGAAAGAUAGAGGUCAGCUUGGCUGGAUCGGUGACAGGUGCUGCAUGGCUGUCGUCAGCUCGUGUCGUGAGAUGUUGGGUUAAGUCCCGCAACGAGCGCAACCCUUGUCCUUAGUUGCCAUCAUUAAGUUGGGCACUCUAGGGAAACUGCCGGUGUUAAACCGGAGGAAGGUGGGGAUGACGUCAAGUCCUCAUGGCCCUUAUGCCCAGGGCUACACACGUGCUACAAUGGCCGGUACAAAGGGCAGCGAUACCGCAAGGUGGAGCAAAUCCCAAAAAGCCGGUCUCAGCUCGGAUUGGAGUCUGCAACUCGACUCCAUGAAGUUGGAAUCGCUAGUAAUCGCGUAUCAGCAUGACGCGGUGAAUACGUU
rnacentral:rRNA from 1 species